CCUACGGGAGGCAGCAGUGAGGAAUAUUGGUCAAUGGCCGUAAGGCUGAACCAGCCAAGUCGCGUGAAGGAAGAAGGAUCUAUGGUUUGUAAACUUCUUUUAUAGGGGAAUAAAGGUAUCCACGUGUGGAUAUUUGCAUGUACCCUAUGAAUAAGCAUCGGCUAACUCCGUGCCAGCAGCCGCGGUAAUACGGAGGAUGCGAGCGUUAUCCGGAUUUAUUGGGUUUAAAGGGUGCGUAGGUUGUUUUUUAAGUCAGCGGUGAAAGUUUGUGGCUCAACCCUAAAAUUGCCGUUGAAACUGGAAGACUUGAGUGUGUUUGAGGUAGGCGGAAUGCGUGGUGUAGCGGUGAAAUGCAUAGAUAUCACGCAGAACUCCGAUUGCGAAGGCAGCUUACUAAGCCAUAACUGACACUGAAGCACGAAAGCGUGGGGAUCGAACAGGAUUAGAUACCCCAGUAGUC
rnacentral:rRNA from 1 species